rnacentral:rRNA from 1 species
UGGGGAAUAUUGGACAAUGGGCGAAAGCCUGAUCCAGCCAUGCCGCGUGUGUGAAGAAGGUCUUCGGAUUGUAAAGCACUUUAAGUUGGGAGGAAGGGCAGUAAGCGAAUACCUUGAUGUUUUGACGUUACCGACAGAAUAAGCACCGGCUAACUCUGUGCCAGCAGCCGCGGUAAUACAGAGGGUGCAAGCGUUAAUCGGAAUUACUGGGCGUAAAGCGCGCGUAGGUGGUUCGUUAAGUUGAAUGUGAAAGCCCCGGGCUCAACCUGGGAACUGCAUCCAAAACUGGCGAGCUAGAGUAGGGCAGAGGGUGGUGGAAUUUCCUGUGUAGCGGUGAAAUGCGUAGAUAUAGGAAGGAACACCAGUGGCGAAGGCGACCAACUGGGCUCAUACUGACACUGAGGUGCGAAAGCGUGGGGAGCAAACAGG